rnacentral:rRNA from 1 species
GACAGAGGGUGCAAACGUUGUUCGGAAUUACUGGGCGUAAAGCGCGUGUAGGCGGCUAAGUAAGUCGGGCGUGAAAUCCCACGGCUCAACCGUGGAAGUGCACUCGAAACUGCGAGGCUGGAGUCCUGGAGAGGAAAGCGGAAUUCUCGGUGUAGAGGUGAAAUUCGUAGAUAUCGAGAGGAACACCGGUGGCGAAGGCGGCUUUCUGGACAGUGACUGACGCUGAGACGCGAAAGCGUGGGAGCAAACAGG